UGCCGGAUUUCUUUUUGAAAAGUUGAGCCUUAUUUUUCUCUAUUUUUUUUUAAUUUUCUUUAUUUUGUCGGUGCCAUUGAUCGCCAUUGAUUGCCAAACCAGGGACACUAACCAUGUCGCAAGGUUUUCGACCAUCAUUGGGCAUAGCCACGCUAGCCGUAGCCCAUGUUUUGGAGAAUGGAAUGAAGAAAUAAAUCCCCUGUUCACCCAAACGAAGAAGAGAAGAAAAAAAAGAAAAAGAAAAGAAAAGAAAAGAAAAGAAAAA
rnacentral:lncRNA from 1 species